UACGAAGGGGGCUAGCGUUGCUCGGAAUCACUGGGCGUAAAGCGCACGUAGGCGGGUCUUUAAGUCAGGGGUGAAAUCCUGGAGCUCAACUCCAGAACUGCCUUUGAUACUGAGGAUCUCGAGUCCGGGAGAGGUGAGUGGAACUCCGAGUGUAGAGGUGAAAUUCGUAGAUAUUCGGAAGAACACCAGUGGCGAAGGCGGCGACCUGGGCCAAUAUUGACGCUGAGGUGCGAAAGCGUGGGGAGCAAACAGG
rnacentral:rRNA from 1 species